UACAGAGGGUGCGAGCGUUGUUCGGAAUUAUUGGGCGUAAAGCGCACGUAGGCGGCUUCUUAAGUCAGGGGUGAAAUCCUGGAGCUCAACUCCAGAACUGCCUUUGAUACUGAGGAGCUUGAGUCCGGGAGAGGUGAGUGGAACUGCGAGUGUAGAGGUGAAAUUCGUAGAUAUUCGCAAGAACACCAGUGGCGAAGGCGGCUCACUGGCCCGGUACUGACGCUGAGGUGCGAAAGCGUGGGGAGCAAACAGG
rnacentral:rRNA from 1 species